rnacentral:rRNA from 1 species
UACGUAGGGUGCAAGCGUUAAUCGGAAUUACUGGGCGUAAAGCGUGCGCAGGCGGUUCUGUAAGUCUGUCUGAAAUCCCCGGGCUUAACCUGGGAAUUGCGAUGGAGACUGCAAGGCUAGAAUCUGGCAGAGGGGGGGUAGAAUUCCACGUGUAGCAGUGAAAUGCGUAGAGAUGUGGAGGAACACCGAUGGCGAAGGGCAGCCCCCUGGGUCAAGAUUGACGCUCAUGCACGAA